UACAGCGAGGUUCACGACAGGAGGUUCACGGCAGGGGUUCAGAGCCCGGUUCACUACAGUCCGGUUGACUACAGCACAGUUCAGCGGUGUGGUUCUGUACGGAGCAUUACGACGGUUCAGUGCGGAGUACUAUCAAGUACAGUUGAGGCGAACGGCGUCUUGAUCUUGGUCUGUGAUCGAGUCCGACACAACGAGCCUAGUGUGUGAGGUCAGUCCUGAACUGUUGAACCCAGUGCAAGCCCGGAACGAGACGGAGAUGCCAGUGCAAGAGUUGAUACGGCGGAACGGUGUUAUCGGAAAGAUAUUUGUACAGUGUACGUGUUGCCAAUUGUACAGUAUUGGCUGUUAUUUAUUCAACUAUUAAAGUGUUACGUUACUUUGGAGCCCUGAGUUGUCAAGUUCUUUAAGUUGGUGGUGUAAGGUGCAGUUUGCAGAGAGCCUGGAUAGUGAGAUUCGUAACAGUAUUAUUGUAUUUUAUAUUAUGUAUUUAUUAAUAGAUAUAGCCCCAAAUGAUUUCCGGGCAGUAUACUUUUACCCUGAUGUUCUGCAUCCUGGGGUACUCCCAAAUGUGACAUAUUUUUGUAGCCUUUCUCUGAGGGAUUCAACCUGUAUUGAAUCAUCAGAGGGGUUUACAUUUUUUUUAUAGCCUUCUCUCUGAGGGAUUCAACCUGUAUUGAAUCAUCAGAUGGGCUUUACCAAACGGAUGUCUAUAGGUGGGAUUCUAUGAAGCUUGUAGGCUCAUAGGUUUCCCUGAAGCCUAUAGUUCAUCAUGACCAUUUUUUUUUUGGCUAAAAGUGGCUAGUGUAAGCCUGAAGCCUGUAACCCUAGAGUAGCCAAAAGUGGUAGUGUUUCGACCUGAGGCAUGUGACCUUUAGUUGGCUGUGUAAGCCUGAAGUUUGUAACCCUAGAGUAGCCAAAAGUGGUCGUGUUUCGACCCGAGGCCUGUGACCUUCAGUUGGCUGUGUAAGCCGGAAGUUUGUAACCCAGUGGUCAAAAGUGGUCAUGUGUUAACCUGAGGCCUGUGACCUUUAUUUUACUCUUGUAAAUGUGUAUUCUCCAGAAUGUGACGAUAAUGUAACAUAUGACUAGGGCAGUGUGCCAUAUUAUUUUUGAGUAUCUUUUGUUUACUUUUUGUUGUGUCGGCCUGUUAGUUGAUGGCCAUUUAUUUACACAUUUAUUUUUCUCAUGUAAAUAAACUUUGUAAAUAUGUUUACCUGCGACUUUGUAAAGUCUUUUGUUGCAUACAUUAGUUGAAUUGUAUACCUGGAGGUUAUACCUAAUAACCUAGGCAGUACAAGAAGGGACCAGCACACCUCUGGACGAACGUGCCAGCAUUCUUUUAACACUGAUCUGUUGAUCUAAAGUACCUAAGUCUAGCUAUAAUUCUAAUAGAAUAUUUUUAGCUAUACCCGCUAAUAGGUAAUGUGAACUAAUCAUAUUGGUUCAUGAAUCCUCUUUAGGUCACAAUGCACUUGAAGCAUCUGUUGUUUUUCCAAAAUCAUGUUUAAUGUUUUUCAGUUUCCAUAAUCUUAGGAGAACUUGUUAUCUAGAAAACCAACUCACCUCGCAAUGAAGGAUAAGAUCACCUUGUUUCAUUUCUAACAGUUCACAAUAUUCUCUGUAUUCUCUUUUCUGUUCAAUCCUCUUGUUUAGAUUUUAUUUACACAUUUCAUAACUGGUAUCAUAACAUGCUUUAAAUUCCAACUUUUUCCACACUCUUGGUUUAUAAUUAAAUGAUAUCAAGACUAAGACUGCUUUAUUGAUCCUUAUUGGAAAUUUGGUGUAACUACAAGGACUUUUUUUUCAAUUAUAACCAACAAAAUUCUAGAAAGGAGAACAACAGACACAACACACAUUGAUUGACUCCACAAACACGUCUAGAUCUUUUCACGUUCCCUAGAAACCUUUCGAUCAAAGUUGCAGUUCCAGCGUCUUCCAGUUCAAAAGCCCAAACUGUCACGGUGGCCACUCAGCCGACUCCAAGGACUGCCCUGUGUGGAAACAGGAGGUUGCCGUGCAGGAGUACAAGGCAAGAAAUGGAUGUACCUUCAGCCAUGCUGGACAAAGACCUACGCCCAGCCUGUGGUUAAGAUAGAGAAAUCCAUAGCCACACAGACGGAUACAUUGACCCCACCACCUCCUCCUGCUCCUCCUCCAACUCAGAAACUCAAAACACCGCCAAAGGAUACACCUCCAAAGAGACAAGAAAGCCCUUUUGUCAUGCUAAAGAACAGGUUCUCUGUGCUGGCUGAUGAGAGCAUGGAGACUGAGCAGCAUGUCAAAACCAACACUCCGGGAGAACCCAGAGACAUUAUGUCUGACACAGGUUCUCCUCAGAGAACAUAGCCACACCCCAACCUCAACUGAGUUAGAGGUUGACCAACUCCCUAAGGGGAGAAGCCCAGUUAAAGAAGAUGCCCGAAGUGAGAGAGGAGGAAGCGGCCUCCGCUCUAAUCGGAUGGAUCUCCCCUCUCCAGAGAGAAAGACCUCCUCCAAAAGGAGGUUGUCCUCCUAUCCAUCCAAACCCAAGACUAAAAAUACCAAGGUCACUGGAAUAAAGGGAAACCCCUCCGGGGGCCUCCCAAGGCCUAAUAGCUCCAAGUAGGCUACUUAGAAUAAGCCAUGGAUUCCAGGAUUGUGCAGUGGAACUGUAGAGGCCUCAAGGCCAAUUAUGAGGAAAUGCAGCUACUGAUUGACUCUGAGACCCCUGUAGCUGUCUGCUUACAGGAAACAUUUCUGAAAGAUAGCAUUAGUUUCCGAAGCUAUAGUACUUACAGCAGAAAUGUUGAGGAUGCGAAGAGAGCAUCAGGUGGAAUCUGUAUCCUUGUGAAGGACAGCGUCCCCCAUGAGAGGGUAGAACUACAGGCCACACUACAGGCCGUAGCAGCUAGGAUAACCCUUCACAAGGUUAUCACUUGCUCCGGGCGCUCCAUUGAACCCAACAGACAUGGAAAACCUCAUAAAACAACUCCCUCGUGCUAUAUAAUCCUUAGGGAUUUCAAUGCCCAUAACACUACGUGGGGAUCCAGCAAUACUGACACAAGAGGUCGUAUGCUGGAGGAUAUCUUCCUCCAACAUGAUUUAUGCAUACUUAAUGAUGCAUCACCGACCUACUUGCACCCAAGAACUGGAUCUCUCACGUGCAUUGACCUCACCGUAUGUGUCCCCGGACUUCUGGACGAUUUUAAGUGGACAGUAAGCAAUGAUCUACGGGGAAGUGAUCACUUUCCAAUCAUCAUUGCUCCCCUCAUUGGGACGGCUUCAGCCGUGGAAGCUGAAUAAAGCUGAUUGGGAACAAUUUUAAGGAUAUCACAGAAAAUAUCAUAAAUGAACAGAACCCAGCUGAUAUCUUUGCUAGCAAGCUACUCGAUAUUGCCCUGAAAGUUGUCCCCCUAACCUCCGCAAACCUAAAACGGCCUAGCAAACCAUGGUUUGAUACAGCUUGCAAAAGUGCUAUUGGCGAUAGGAAAAAACGGCUGUCUGCAUUUAUAAAGAAUCCUUCCCAGGAAAAUCUAAAUCUAUUCAGGAUAGUUAGAACGAAGGCUAGACAAACCGUACGGUCAGCGAAAAGGAAUUCCUGAAGGAAUUUUGUAAGCAGUUUGGAUGCCAAAACUUCUGCUAGAGCGGUUUGGAAGGCAGUAAGGCGGAUCAAAGGGAAAGAAUCAAAUGCUAUAGGGUAAUUGAAAAACCAAGGACGAACUGUUACGUCCCCCAGAGAUAUAGCUUACUGCCUUGCAUCCUCAAUAGCAGAUAAAUCAUCCACUGCACACUACAUGCCAGAAUUCCAAAAAAUCUAAAUCAGGGAGGAAAGACACCCCAUUGACUUCAGAUCAGAGAACAAUGAUGAUUAUAACAAGCCGCUCUUGCUUGAAGAACUGAGGGACUCGCUGGGCAUAUCACAUGACACAGCGCCAGGAGAAGAUGAAAUCCAAUAUCAGUUCCUCAAGCAUAUUCUUCCUAAACCUUUAUUGGCAACCCUGCUAAAAAUCUAUAACUGUGUAUGGCAAACAGGCUAUUUCCCAUAUAGCUGGAGGAAAGCCACGGUUAUACCGAUACCUAAACCGGGAAGAGAUGGGUCUGACCCAGCUAACUAUCGCACUAACAAGCUGCAUCUGCAAAACCGUGGAAAGGAUUAUAAACAAUAUGUUGGUCUGGUACCUCGAGAGAAAUAAAAUCAUCUCCAACUACCAGUGCCGAUUCCGGCAGGGGCGGACAACAACUGACACCUGAUGUUAAGAUCUAACAGUCUAUAGCGACGAAAGAAAGGAGUUGGCUGCAUAUGGCUUUGGUCACACAUUUUUUCGAAGAGGACACAAUUGUAAGCUUGCUGGCUUAGUGAAACUUCAUUUUGAAUUUAAUUAAUAUAAACAGAAAUUUAAUAAUUUAUUAAGAAUAGAAAAUUCCACCAAUAAUGCUAAUAGAAACUUAUGAAUGAGCAUCAUUAUGAAAAGAAACUCAAAAAAAAGCAGCAAAGAUAAUAUAUGCUGUCAUAUUUUCUCAAUACUAUAAUGUUCCACACUUAAUAUCUAUCUGUAUGAUUUUAUAUCUAUAAGCACCUACAAUUUCAUUUUUUUUUAAAUUUUUAAUUCAUUAUAAAAACUUGUCUGUUUGGUUCCAGACAUUUAUAUUGCCAAAGUUUUUAAACAGUCGGGUUGAACCUGUAAGUGUUUUUCUUUAAAAUAUUUGAAACUAGACAUAUAUUGCCCGCGUAUUGCUGAUGUAGUCACUGAUAUAGUGCAUUAGAAACAAUGAAAGAAAAUAAUAAUGUUAUAAGUAAAGCGAAUGCAUGAAUUCAUGAAUAAAAAAAUAUUAUAAAUGGAGUUAAAAAUAGCUAAUUGACCUGAAUUCAAUUUUUUAUGAAAACAUUGGCGAACGAAUGUAGAUCUAUGUAAGAAUGGUUUAGAAAAACAAAUUUGAAUGUUAAUUUGAUUAAAAUAUGAAAUGAAUGGACUAUAAUUAAUAUGUUCAUGUGUUUAAUUAUAAAACUAUCUUUGCGAAGAGAAGUUGUAUCAUCUUAGAAGGAAUUAGAGUUUUAGACCUAGGAAUAGAGAGAUGUGUAACAUUUCGCUUAGUGUCUAAUGAAGGAAUGUUCGUCAGGAAUUCUAAAUUCGCAGAUAUAAGGAACGAAUUUCUGUAAAAAUGCAUUUGAAACACACAUUUGAAGCUUAAUUUUAUUAAAUAAUGAAAUCAAUAGACUAUAUUUUGUAUUUUCAUGUGUCAAAGUAAAAAACUUAUCUGCGCAAAGUGUAGUUUCUAAAAUUAGAUCUAGAUCGUUUCUAUCUUUUCAUGUAAAUAUGGUAAACAUAGCCUAGAUCGAUGAAGUUAUAAUGCUUUCAUAGAGUUGGUCAACUUUUUUUUUGAUGGUCUUAAGUUUGUUUUAGGGCUACAGUACAUAAACUACGGUCUAAGUUAGUACCCAAGGAACAUUUCUGCCAAGUUUAAUCAAGAUUGGUCAAACGGUUUUGAUUUCUAUUCGCACAUACAUACGCCUUACAUUCUACUUUAUAGUAUAAGAUGUGGAAGGGCUCUGGAAGCAUUAAUAUAACAACGAGAUGCCCGUUUUACUUAAGAGCUUAACUGGGCUUGAGAAAAAAUUCAAAUGAAUUAAAUUGUAUUAGAAUUAAAAUCAAUUUUUGUUUACAUAUGUUUUCAUUGUAGUUAAAGAAUAACUUUUAAAACAAUCAAUUUUGUAAACAAAUUAAAAUUGUAAUUACAUGUCUGGCAUUACUAUAUUUUAAACACAUUUGUUGUCACUCUGGUUUUAAGUUGACUUCUAUAAACUUGUUCUUCAUUAUAUAUA